rnacentral:rRNA from 1 species
UAAUUGAAGAGUUUGAUCAUGGCUCAGAUUGAACGCUGGCGGCAGGCCUAACACAUGCAAGUCGGGCGGUAACAGGGAGAAGCUUGCUUCUCCGCUGACGAGCGGCGGACGGGUGAGUAAUGUAUGGGGAUCUGCCUGAUGGCGGGGGAUAACUACUGGAAACGGUAGCUAAUACCGCAUAAUGUCUUCGGACCAAAGCGGGGGACCUCCGGGCCUCGCGCCAUCAGAUGAACCCAUAUGGGAUUAGCUAGUAGGUGAGGUAACGGCUUACCUAGGCGACGAUCCCUAGCUGGUCUGAGAGGAUGAUCAGCCACACUGGGACUGAGACACGGCC